UGCGGGACAGCGCGCGGUAGCGCGAGCUGUUCGUCGUGGUAGAUCUAAAUAAACGGUGGGACGGCUGCAAGAGAGCCUCCCUACCGGGUGAAAUCGGGAUGUGCCGCGGAACCUUUUCCUCAGUCGGUCAACUUUGGAAGCGCGGGCAACGCAGGUGCCACUGUCUUAAAGGGUCGGCUGCAACCGGCCC
rnacentral:sRNA from 1 species